AUGCACGUGGUUUCUCCAGUCAUGACCCAGUAGAGCAGCGAGAAGAACCAUAUCUGGCAGCAACACAGGUCUUUACCAGGAAGGUAGGGUAAGAAAGAGCAGAAACUAAUUUGUGAGCAACAGAGGAAAUGUCCAAAUGCUUCACCCAACUUCAGUGGGAGUGACUGAAGUGUGCAGACUCUUGGUGGCUGGGGUAAGCUGAGACUUGUUUGUCCACACAGGCAGGACACCACAUACGGACUACAAAAGCAAUUGCCAACCUUCUCAUUGGUUUUCAAACUUCCAGUUUAGCAACUAUCAUCCAGUCUCUUAAGAUGUCUGUUCAUCUAGUUCAUGGAAAACUGGAAGCUAUCAACACCCACCAGAUGUGAUUUAGGAUCUUGAGAUGAGAAGACUUUCCUGAAAAAUGCAACCAUACUCAUCUUUACAAUAUGGAGGCAAAGGGAUAUUGACACACAUAAACACAGAGGAGAAGGUGACAAGAAGAUGAAGAAGAGAGAGAUGUGAAGAGGCUAGCCUUGAAGAUUGAAGUGUUGUGGCAUCUGGUUUCCAGCCAAGGAAUGCUGGCACCCAUCCAAAGCUAGAAGAGGCAAGGAAUAGAUUCUUCCCUGGAGCCUCAGGAAGGAGCUUGGUCCUGUUGACACCUCAAUUCCUCUGCCUAGUGAUAAUGAUUUUUAACUAGUGUAA